rnacentral:rRNA from 1 species
GAAAGCUAUUUAGGUAGCGCCUCGUGAAUUCAUCUCCGGGGGUAGAGCACUGUUUCGGCAAGGGGGUCAUCCCGACUUACCAACCCGAUGCAAACUGCGAAUACCGGAGAAUGUUAUCACGGGAGACACACGGCGGGUGCUAACGUCCGUCGUGAAGAGGGAAACAACCCAGACCGCCAGCUAAGGUCCCAAAGUCAUGGUUAAGUGGGAAACGAUGUGGGAAGGCCCAGACAGCCAGGAUGUUGGCUUAGAAGCAGCCAUCAUUUAAAGAAAGCGUAAUAGCUCACUGGUCGAGUCGGCCUGCGCGGAAGAUGUAACGGGGCUAAACCAUGCACCGAAGCUGCGGCAGCGACGCUUAUGCGUUGUUGGGUAGGGGAGCGUUCUGUAAGCCUGUGAAGGUGUGCUGUGAGGCAUGCUGGAGGUAUCAGAAGUGCGAAUGCUGACAUAAGUAACGAUAAAGCGGGUGAAAAGCCCGCUCGCCGGAAGACCAAGGGUUCCUGUCCAACGUUAAUCGGGGCAGGGUGAGUCGACCCCUAAGGCGAGGCCGAAAGGCGUAGUCGAUGGGAAACAGGUUAAUAUUCCUGUACUUGGUGUUACUGCGAAGGGGGGACGGAGAAGGCUAUGUUGGCCGGGCGACGGUUGUCCCGGUUUAAGCGUGUAGGCUGGUUUUCCAGGCAAAUCCGGAAAAUCAAGGCUGAGGCGUGAUGACGAGGCACUACGGUGCUGAAGCAACAAAUGCCCUGCUUCCAGGAAAAGCCUCUAAGCAUCAGGUAACAUCAAAUCGUACCCCAAACCGACACAGGUGGUCAGGUAGAGAAUACCAAGGCGCUUGAGAGAACUCGGGUGAAGGAACUAGGCAAAAUGGUGCCGUAACUUCGGGAGAAGGCACGCUGAUAUGUAGGUGAAGUCCCUCGCGGAUGGAGCUGAAAUCAGUCGAAGAUACCAGCUGGCUGCAACUGUUUAUUAAAAACACAGCACUGUGCAAACACGAAAGUGGACGUAUACGGUGUGACGCCUGCCCGGUGCCGGAAGGUUAAUUGAUGGGGUCAGCGCAAGCGAAGCUCUUGAUCGAAGCCCCGGUAAACGGCGGCCGUAACUAUAACGGUCCUAAGGUAGCGAAAUUCCUUGUCGGGUAAGUUCCGACCUGCACGAAUGGCGUAAUGAUGGCCAGGCUGUCUCCACCCGAGACUCAGUGAAAUUGAACUCGCUGUGAAGAUGCAGUGUACCCGCGGCAAGACGGAAAGACCCCGUGAACCUUUACUAUAGCUUGACACUGAACAUUGAGCCUUGAUGUGUAGGAUAGGUGGGAGGCUUAGAAGUGUGGACGCCAGUCUGCAUGGAGCCGACCUUGAAAUACCACCCUUUAAUGUUUGAUGUUCUAACGUUGACCCGUAAUCCGGGUUGCGGACAGUGUCUGGUGGGUAGUUUGACUGGGGCGGUCUCCUCCUAAAGAGUAACGGAGGAGCACGAAGGUUGGCUAAUCCUGGUCGGACAUCAGGAGGUUAGUGCAAUGGCAUAAGCCAGCUUGACUGCGAGCGUGACGGCGCGAGCAGGUGCGAAAGCAGGUCAUAGUGAUCCGGUGGUUCUGAAUGGAAGGGCCAUCGCUCAACGGAUAAAAGGUACUCCGGGGAUAACAGGCUGAUACCGCCCAAGAGUUCAUAUCGACGGCGGUGUUUGGCACCUCGAUGUCGGCUCAUCACAUCCUGGGGCUGAAGUAGGUCCCAAGGGUAUGGCUGUUCGCCAUUUAAAGUGGUACGCGAGCUGGGUUUAGAACGUCGUGAGACAGUUCGGUCCCUAUCUGCCGUGGGCGCUGGAGAACUGAGGGGGGCUGCUCCUAGUACGAGAGGACCGGAGUGGACGCAUCACUGGUGUUCGGGUUGUCAUGCCAAUGGCACUGCCCGGUAGCUAAAUGCGGAAGAGAUAAGUGCUGAAAGCAUCUAAGCACGAAACUUGCC